GGGGGCGUGACCUCCCUGAAGUAUGCGACGGCCUCCCCCGAGGCCCCGCCCAGCAGUUUGCGGACCCAAGGGCCAGGCGGCGACUGUUUCCUCGGCACAGCACAAAGACGGCUCGUGAAGAGAGGUGCGGGCAGGUAGCUGAAGUCUGGGGGAGGGCGGUGCUGGCGGCUUCAAGAGCCUCUGCACACGCCCCUCCAACGAACAGCCAAAUGUCUGGAAAAUAAAAGGAUGACCAGUGGAGAAAGAAACGUAACCAAUAAGAGAUAUGUGAGGAGAUUUAUUAUGAUAAACUGCUCACAGAUUAUGGACCCUGAGAAGACCCACAGUCUACCACCUGCAAGUUGGAGACUCAGGAAAGCCAGCGGUGUCAUUCCACUCUGAGUUUGAAAGCCUGAGAAUCAGGGCAGCUGAUGUAUAAAUCCUAGUCUGAAGACAAGGGAAGACCAAUAUCCAGCUCAGGGAGCAGACAGAAAGCAAAAGGGGGUUCACAGCCAGUCCAGGACAGGCUCCACAUGUCAGGCGUGGACGAAGUUGUGCAGAAGUGUAAUUACGUCGUGGUCAAUGCAGUGUUCGCUUUUGUAAGUCAGCGCAAAACAUGCCACAGACACAUUCUGUGAAUAACGUUCUGUGGCUAAAAUUCCUUGUAAUGAAAAGACAAAGUUAUAUGAAAUAGAAUGACACUUGCUACUCCAGUUAACUCCACUCUGUACCUGGGGGUUCUGACUCCAUAUGUGGUUUUGGCGGUGUGUUGCUGUGCUAGAUCCUUCCACAUUCAACAAGUGGCAGACUAUGUAAAAGGUAAGAGUCCCCAGGGCAAAGUCACUGAGCCAUGAUAUCUGUAAUUUAUACUGGGGCAUCUGAAACCUGUAUGAGAAUUUUCAAGAAACCCAUAGGAAUGGGAAUAUCACAUACAAAUUGAGCACAAUGAGAAACUUUUUAAUAGGGUCCAAGGGAGAACAAAAGAGGUAGAUCUCCACAGCCUCGGAAGAGUCAACAGCAGUGGAAAGAAGGCAAGUUUUUCCCAGAGUCCUCAUGUGGAGCACCUGUGCCCUUUCUUUCCAUCUGAUCUCCUAACACAGAGAAGCACAACCUCAGAGAAUACAGCUUGUCCCCCACGGACUUGUUCCUGGCCCCUGAAGUUGUCCUCAUAGGGGGUCCCUGGGCUCCAUCUGCAGCUAUUCUGCCAACCCCCUUCCUACAAUCAAGCUCCCCAGGCACAAUCUUGGUCAGGAACAACUUAAGGAAAUUGAGCCUGGAAUUCAGUGUCUGCUUUAGUUCUGAUACUCAGGCUUGUUCCAUCCCUAUUCAUUGGUCUUAGAACUGCCUCCCUGCUGUAUUUCUUCUCCUUGUUUUGGUGAUUUAUCUCUUAAGGGUCCUUCAAGAACUAAAGCUCACCUCGUUACUAUUUUCAGCCUCCAGGCCUCUUUUGGACCUCAGAUGAAGGGCUGGGACUGUCAGUCCCUGACAGUUUCUGGAUUCUUCAGCAUUAUGCCCCAAAGCUGGCAGCCUUCUGGUUGGACUACAGCCAGGUCAGAUACAGACUUCCUUUGCUGUUAGGCUUGGCCUAUACCCCUAUUGCCUGCCUGCCGCCGCCGUAUAGGCAGAAGCAGCUCCCAAAUCUUCCCUUUCCCAUCCAUCCUGCCUUCUUCAGGUUAACUAGGUCAUUUCAGACAGUGUCCCAAGGUAGGAAGGCUUGAGCUCAAGAGGCUAACUUCUUCCUGCUGAGUGCUAACUGCAGCUAGAAGAGUAAUUCCUAUAGCUCUGUAUCAAGAUGCUUCUUCUUUUGUGACUGCCAUGCUCUUCAGGCUUUAUUUAGGACUGUUAAUGUCAUGUACGCUAUUUACUGGUCAAAUUAAGACUAUUAUUAUAGAGUCACUGAAAGUCUUGAUUUUAAAGAUAACUUCAUGUUUUAGGAAAAUAAUCAUGAUUUAAUGUUUGGGGGGCAAGCAGGAUACAGAACUAUGUCAAGCUGUGUGAGCUCAUUGUGGCAGACAUCAUGUGGGAUUUGGGCUGCUCAGUAUCUAAACUCCCUUCCCAGGUUUAAGGAAUUUCCCACCAUGUGAUUCUACAUGUGCAGUGAAGGCCCCCUACCUUUAGAGAAGCAAAGAAUUAAGAGGCCUUUCUGUCACUGCUCCCUGACAGCUGGGGCAGGCAUGUGGCCUUGACUCAAUUAAGCACCCACCCAGACUUGGAAUUGGGGACCAGCGAUUCACAGAAGCAAGGACUAUGGAAACUCCAUCCUAUCAGUGAAGGUGACACAGUUACCAGGGCAGCAGGGCUGUCAGGGCCAGCAGAACCAGCAUUGGCCUCUGGGCUGGCAAUGUUAGAAGUACCAGCUUUGGUGAAAGUCUUUAGUGUGGGAGCCUCACUGGAAUAAUUCCAUGGCAGUAUCUGGCCUCUGGUUCUGUUUCAGUUAUUGUAUUUUGCAUCUCUUCUUGCUUAAGUUUUAUAUUUUGUAUCUCUUUGCUCAGUGUUUCCUGUAAAUUAUCCGUCUUUGCCUCCAGUUUAUUUCUAAUGUCUUGCAUCAUCUUCUGCAUCAACAGUCUAAAGUCUUUUUCCUGGAGGCUGAGAAUCUUCUAAUCACUUAGCUGUUUUUCUGGGAUUUUUUUUCUUUCUCCCUUCUCUGACUUAUAGUUCUCUGUCUUUUCAUUUUUAUAGGUUUUUGGUCUGGUGACUUUUUUUACAGAUAAUAGAGUUGUAGCCUCUCUUAAUUCUGGCAUCCGCCCCCCUUGUGGCUGAAGUUGGUAUAGGGGCUUGCUGUAGGCUUCCUAAUGGGAGGGACUGAUGCCUGUCCGCUGGUAGGUGGUGCUGAUUCCUAUCCCUCUGGUGGGUGGGGCUUUGUCUCUGGGUGAGAUUAGAGGCACUGGAGUGCCUGGGGGGUCUUUAGGCAGCCUGUUUACUGAUGGGCAGGGCUGUGAUCCCACCUGGACUGUUGUUUGGCCUGAGGCUUCUCAGCCUGAUGGGUGGAGCCAGAUUUUCCCAAAAUGGCCACCUCUCGAUGUGGCCUCCUCUUUGUCUUCUGGAGUAGGAUAUCUUGUUGAAAGUUUCCAGUCCAUUUGGUUGAAGGUUGUUCAGCAUUUGGUUGUAAAUUUUGUUGUUUUUAGGAGAGAAGUUGAGCUCCAGUCCUACUAUUCUGCCAUCUUAAUCCCAUCUCCUCUGGUUCUGUUUUUUUAAAACCCUCCUUUGUCAUUUUUACUCUUUUUCAGGACUGGUUCUCUAGGCUUUCCUGUGAAUUUCUGAACUAACAAAUAUCUUUUCAGUAAAUUCCUUUCUUCUUAAAGGAGUAACAGCUUUUUCUGUUCAUUGCAGCUAAGAAUUCUGACAAGUGUACCAAUGCUUUUUAAAAUGCAAAGAGAAAAGACUUGAUGUACACUCAUUGUUAAUGAUGGUUAUCUUUAGGUGUAUAGAAUCACAGAUCAUUUUAGUUUUCUUCUUUUUUCCUGGGAACAUUUCCUAAAAAUUUCAGUAAAGUGGUAUUACCUUAGCAGUCAAGAAAGAGCUAAGUUUUAAAAUUGGAGAUUUCCUUGGAUCUCUGAAGUCCUUAAUUGUUGGAAAACAAUUACCUUGAUUAAUCAAGUGGAAUUUUAUUUUGGCACCUGUGACUUCAGUUUUGGCUUGGGCAAGUCAUAGGUAUUGGGGUAAGAGAAAUGCCAAUAUAUUUUGUGAAAAAAAAAAAAACCCCCGAGACCAGUUCUUACCUCGCAAUCCUGGUCUACUUAUAUUUUUUAUUUGUUUUAGAACUCUAUAGUCCUUUGAUGGGAGGCCUGAGAAUAUUGGACUAUUUUUAGAGAACUUUAACCCAAUUCCAAGCAAUAAGGAGUUUCUUAACACUAAUGUUUAUAAAUGUGUAUAAGCACAGGAACACUGCUCGUAUGAUUCUUUGUUGGUUUCUCCUAAGUAGCUAUCCCAACAGUUUUGUGAAUACUGUAAAUAAUAGUCUAAAAAUACCAGGAUAUUGAACCUACCAGUAAUUCGUGCAGUUGGCUGAGCAGCUACCAGCAAUGGUGUGAGUAACACAGUGGAAACUGUAUAAUGGUGUCCUUCGUUAGAACUAAAUCCCAGCUAUCAAGAGAAAACAAAGAUCACCAUUGAUAGGAAGCAGUGGUCGUCUUGUUUCUAUAAGAGCCUGGGGAGUUUUCAGUAUCCCCGCCUCCCUCUAGGAGAUUGCCUGCUUUUGACCAUGGGUGAGAGAUCAAAGUUACAUGGGAUGAGAGUCUCUUGCCCCUCCAUCAACACUGCUGAGACAGCAGUCAAGGGAACUCUGAAUCUGAUCCAGUUGUGAUCACUGAGUUGCUGCAGCCCUCAGAGUGUGGGGACCCUAUUGAUCAUGCCAAAUGAAGCAUCAAAGCACAGUAAAAUGGAAGAAGCAUAGCAUUUAGUCCAAUGGACUUGGUGUUAGAGCCCAGUCCAAAUAGCCACCAGCUGAUCACAUGAGGCUUUCUGAGCCUCGGUUUCACUACAGAAUGUAGAUAAAAGAAACACCUCAUAGUAUCAAAGGAAAUAGCCCAUGUAAAACUCUGAGUACAGUUUCUGGCUUAUAAUGGGUACUCAGUAAAUGGGACUUCUCUUCCAUCCAUGAGCUCUGCUCCCUUUAUUUUUCUGGGAAAUCCUUUAUCUUUUAGAAAGAGUGACUUCAGAUGCAAUUUUUGCAGAGAUAGUUAUUUUUUCCCAACCUCUCAAAUCUAGUAAAAUGCUAAAAUUACCUUCUAAUUAUUUUCUGGAAAGAGGUGCCUUGCCUGAACCAUGAAAAAUUAUCAAAAAAGGGAAACAUUCGUAGCUCAAUGAAUGAUCUGUGUCAAUAUUGCGUGUGACAAAUAUAUCAUCAUUUAACAUGUAGGAAUCAGCAUUAAAGUGCAGGGAAAAGGUAUUAGAGCAAGCCCAUGAGGUUGAAUAGUGCAACAAAAAAAGAUUGACAUUUGCUUAGUGAGGAUGCCAAGCUUGAGUGAUAAUCAACACUUUCUUCUGCUUGUUGAAUAAGAGGAAUACUCCGUAUUGAGCAAAAUGCCUUCAUAAACUGCUUGGGUGUAGCUAAUUUAUUUGGACAUUAAGAUAUAGUUUUCCCAUAUCCUUCCAAAUAGCAUUUUUGUUGCCAAUAUGUAAAUGGGUCUCCAGUCUCUCAGAAGGUGACACAAGAAAAGAAGUGCAGAAAAGAAGGAAAAUCAAACUAGAAAAGAAAAGAAGCCCUGUCCAAAAAAAUCAAUAAUUUUGCUACUGAGAAAUUGCUACCAUCCUUAUUCAGGAAGGGGUGGAAAGAUCAGACCAAGCUAACUUGUGUGAUAAAUGAGUUUAUAAAGUAGCCUGUACCAGGAGACUAAUUUAAUUGGCUGCUUAAAGUCUGAUAAUAUACCAUGCUACUACAAAUUUUUUCCUUUAUUUUAAUCUUCAAUUUAAGCUGAGUAUAAGGCACACCAUGUCUGCCUAAUGGGACAAGGAACACCAAUUGCUGCUGGGGGCAUACAACCACCUGUGGUAGGAAUUCCCUUUUGGCACAGAAAGUUAAGGAUCCAGCAUUGUCACUGCAGUGGCUUGGGUCACUUCUGUGGUGUGGCUUCGAUUCCUGGCCUGGGAACUUCCAUAUGCCAUGGUG